UGUGGGAGCGGGCUUGCCCGCGAUUCAAGCGACUGGGUACAUCUGAUGUACCGAGGCGUUGCAAUCGCGGGCAAGCCCGCUCCCACA
rnacentral:misc_RNA from 1 species